rnacentral:rRNA from 1 species
UACGUAGGGUGCAAGCGUUGUCCGGAAUUAUUGGGCGUAAAGAGCUCGUAGGCGGCCUGUCGCGUCGGCUGUGAAAACUCGGGGCUCAACCCCGAGCCUGCAGUCGAUACGGGCAGACUAGAGUCCGGCAGGGGAGACUGGAAUUCCUGGUGUAGCGGUGAAAUGCGCAGAUAUCAGGAGGAACACCAGCGGCGAAGGCGGCGCUCUGGGCCGGUACUGACGCUGAGGAGCGAAAGCGUGGGUAGCAAACAGG